rnacentral:rRNA from 1 species
AAGUCGUAACAAGGUUUCCGUAGGUGAACCUGCGGAAGGAUCAUUACCGAUUUUUAGCGUGCCUGGUCAUGUCUUGACCAUGGUCUCGCGAAAUUCUUGUAUUUAAAACCUCACACUUUUUAAAUCAUAUGUAUAUUAUCAUUGAUAAAAAAAUAAAGAUCACCUUCAACAACGGAUCUCUUGGCUCUCGCAUCGAUGAAGAACGUAGCGAAGUGCGAUAAGUAAUGUGAAUUGCAGAAUUCCGUGAGUCAUCGAAUCUUUGAACGCAAAUUGCACUUCCUGGUAUUCCGGGGAGUAUGCCUGUUUGAGGGUCAGUUUAAAUAAAAAUCGACGUGUCGCUUUUUUCGUGACGCUUCGGAAUUGGGACAUCUUGACCUCAGGGUUAAGAGACCUAAAAUUGAUACCUUUCCGAGCAUCUUGGACGUACGUAAAAUCUUUCAAGUGCCCGGAUCUUUUGUAUUAGGUAUGACCAUGUUGUUUGCGUGGCUUCUGUACCUAUAACUCGUAUUUCAUGUUUUGACCUCAAAUCAGGUAGGAACACCCGCUGAACUUA